rnacentral:rRNA from 1 species
AACGAACGCUGGCGGCAUGCCUAACACAUGCAAGUCGAACGAGACCUCCGGGUCUACUUGCGCACGGGUGCGUCACGCGUCGGAACCUGCCCUUAUGUUCCGAAUACCACCCUUUAGGGGGUGCUAACACCGGGUAACUUCUUCUGACCAAACAUUUAUCGACUUAGGAUGGGCCCGCGUUGUUUUAGCCUGUCGGUAGGGUAAAAGCCUACCAAGGCGACGUUACAUAGCUGGUUAGAGAGGAAGAGCAGCCACACUCAGGCUGAGACACGGCCCAGACUCCUAGGGGAGGCGGGAGAGGGGAAUAUUGGACUAUCGGGGAAGGCCUGAAGCAGCAAGGCCGGGUGAGUGAUGAAGGCCUGAGGGUAGUAAAGCUCUUUUACCCGGGAUGAUAAUGACAGUACCGAGAGAAUAAGCACCGGCUAACUCCGUG